rnacentral:rRNA from 1 species
UACGUAGGGGGCAAGCGUUGUCCGGAUUUAUUGGGCGUAAAGAGCGUGUAGGCGGCCUGGAGGGUCAGCUGUGAAAACUCGAGGCUCAACCUCGAGACGUCGGUUGAAACCACCUGGCUAGAGUCCGGAAGAGGAGAGUGGAAUUCCCGGUGUAGCGGUGAAAUGCGCAGAUAUCGGGAAGAACACCCGUGGCGAAGGCGGCUCUCUGGGACGGUACUGACGCUGAGACGCGAAAGCGUGGGGAGCGAACAGG